CCUAAUUCCUUUUUCUAUUUAAAGAAUCUAUGAUAAUACAUGGAUUGUAAAAGUAUUUGCUUUAUUACUUGCAAUAAGUCUUAUACAAAAUGUUUAAUUCAUGAUGAUUUCUUCUUUAGGUAUUCAAGUGUACAGGAAGUUUUACACAGAAGAGAAGGAAAAGUCCAAUGGUGUCCUUGCUAUUUGUGUUGCAAAAUGGCCUGUCCAGCCCUUCUUUCAUAUGGCUAGAAUUCUCUCUGGAUUGAGUUAUGAAGGUCUUCAAAGCCUUCUAAGUCUCUAUGAUCGCACUUCAAAGGUUGCAGAUUCAUUGCUUCAAGCAAGACUUAGAUCUGAGCCAACUGUGACAAUGAUGUGAUAAUUUGUUUGUUUUCUUUCCGUAUUUGCGUACAUAGCCUUUGUCAAGAAAUUCUGUCAUAUUCAAUUGCAAAUUUGAGACUUUAACAUUUUUAACACAAAAUAGAGAAAUUCAUUCUUUGUUAGUUUUA